CAAAGAGGAACGGACUGACUUAUUGAGGAACGUCGUCAGUCCAGCUGCAAAACAUAAAAACAGACCAGCAGUUCUGUUCAACAGAUCUAUAUGCAAUGACAUCAAAUGACUGGACUGAGUAGCAGCAAGCGGUUAGGGUUCAGGUCAUGAAAGAAUUGUUGCCUGCUGAUUCGUGCGGAAAUUCGCCAUAACGAACACACAUGAUCAAGAACAGCAACUCUGAGUUCUUCUGUGUGGUGUUACAAGGGGCCUCUUCUCCAGCACCUUGGCGACUCACUGGCGUCAUUGAUCAUGUAGUCUGCAGGUGUGCACCCGAGUCCUCGCGAUGUUGUUUGUGCCAACACCAUUCAGUGCAUGCAAUUACCAGAAGGAUCUUAUGCAAGUUCUAAAAAAAAAAAACACCAGUUGUAUCAUCAUGUAUAUAUCUUAUUGCAAGAAUGUCAUCAGUUGAGAUUAUAAGGAGAAGGUUGCUGUGCCAUUGAAGUUCUGGAGAGCUAGGAUGGUGACUUUUCUGGCAAUGAUUGUAGGACAAGAAGGAUUUUCUUGGAUCUUGGAGGUGACUGGUAUGAUAAAAUGACUUAAAAACCUAGUGUUAAUAUGUCAUGAAGUUCCAUUCCACCCACGGCAGGGCUAUUACCCUGUUAGAUAACCGCAUGCAUGCUGUGCGAGAUGGUGCCACCUUUGGCAAUGGCAUUGUCUUUGGUGACCAACCACUUCUUGUUGGUCAGAAGGUUUGUUUGAAGAUGGGAUGUGUAUUCACUUGGAGUGGAGCUCUUCGCAUUGGUGUUACUACUCACAAUCCAGCCAGAUUAGCAGUUGAACAAUUACCGAAGUAUGUGUAUCCAGACUUAACAUCUAAAGAAGGGUUCUGGGCCAGAGCAGUCCCAGAAAAGAUGGUAAGCUCAGGAUGUCGGGUGAUGGUGUAUUUGACCAGUUCUGGCCACAUGCAGAUUUUUAUUAAUGGGCAGCAUAUGGGUGUCUUGCUGACAGAUCUGCCCACCAACCAAACCCUGUGGCUAUUGAUGGACAUCUAUGGAAAUACAACCAGCUUGAUGUUUGUGGAACCUGAAAAUGCACCCAGAGAAAUACUUGCACGAGGUCUGGAAGCGGUACAAGCCUAUGACCAAUCCUGUGGUAGCGGUGUGCAGCCUGUCUUUCGCACACGGCUGAUGUUGGUAGGCAAAGACAGAGUGGGCAAAACAAGUCUUAAACGAGCCAUAACAGGACAACAACAUAAUUCCGCUGAACAAAGUACAGAUGGUAUUGACCUGUCUGCCUCAUGCUCCUUCAGUUUAUCAAAUCGGUCAUCAUGGAAAUUAGCCAUCAGAGGGGAUAAUGUUCUUAACGAGGAAAGUCAGCCUGAAAGGCAUGACUUGGGCAUUAUAGGGGGUCCAGGUGGUCUAGAGGAAGAGUACAACUAUGCCAUUGCUUCAAACAUCGUUCAAGAAUUGUUGUUGCAGUCACGACAGCAGGAGACAGCUGGAAGUGAUACCAAAAUCUCUGGUCUUCACUCUUCAGCCAGCAUUCUCAACACAGGCUUGUGUCCCUUACACAGUUCUGUCCCAAGCAGUAGUUUAUCUACACCUAAAACCAAUAAGAAGAAUACUUCAUCUUUGCCCCAUCAGACUUUGGACAAAAGGCUUGAAGAAUGCAUGCCAGAGUUUUCACCACAAGUUCCAGAAAGAGUGGUCACAUUGGUGCAUGAGAUGCUGAACACCUUCCUGUCAAGAAAGGAGUCAGGGGUAACAGAAGAUUCAAGAAAACAACCUCUCCAGAAGGACAAGACUGUUGUUUUGAAUAUCUGGGACUUUGCAGGCCAGGCAGCUUAUUACACAACACAUCAGGUGUUUCUUACUAGUAGAGCCGUGUAUGUGAUUGUCUUCAACCUAUGCGAUGAUUUUAUUUUUCCUUCAGAAGAUGAUGACCAGAAUGAGAAUGAGUUAUCAACCCUAGAAUACAUGGACUUCUGGAUGCGUUCUAUUCAUGCACAUGCAGCGGAAAAUACUUCUGAUGAUGUAGACAAUACCACCUUGUCCCCACCAAUCUUUGUAGUAGGCACACAUCGUAACAGUCUCCAUGAGAAUCCUGAAGUACAAGCAGAGAUGGUGGAUGAGAAGUUUAGUGAACUUCGAGAAUUUCUGGCUGACAAACCAUACACACGACAUUUGGUGACACCAUUCUAUGCAGUGGAAAACAGUCUACCUUAUGGAGAGGACCUACAGAUCAUGCAGCUGAAGGAAGAUAUUGAGCGUGUAGCAGGACAACAACCUUACAUGGGAGAGCAAAUGCCAAUACGCUGGCUGCGAUUUGAACAAGAGCUGACUGAAAAAGCUGACUCGGGCACGAACUAUGCCUCGCUGAACCAGGUGAGGGAAAUGGCCCGAAAUCAUGGGGUGAAUACAGAUGAAGAGUUUCAUACCAUGCUAGCAUUCUACCAUGACCUUGGGCUUCUUAUUCAUUAUGCUGCCACUGAUGAUAGCACAGCCAUGCCAGAUGACGUGUUGGCAAACACCGUCGUGCUAUGUCCUCAGUGGCUAGCCCAGGCCUUCAAGCACAUUGUCUUGGACAGGCGGCCUAACGACCUGUGGGAUCUACAGGCAGAGUGUUGGGAGAGAUUAGAGAGAUCAGGCAUCCUGGACAAGACUCUCUUGCCAUCGUUGUUGCCUGGAAGUGCAGCUGAGCAUGCAGUUCUUCUCAGACUGAUGGAAAAACUAGAUUUACUUUGUCCAACGGCAGCAACACAGGACUCGCAAGAGGAAAACAGUAAUUAUAUUAUCCCUAUGCGACUCAGCAUCUGUCACAAUACCCGCAGCAUGUACAUGCAGACUAUGGAAGAUGCUGUGCUAUAUUUAGACUUCAACGGGUUUUUGCCAGAUGGCCUGUUUUUCCGCAUUCUGAAUCGUACAUUCCGUUGGUCGCAAACACUGGGUGGGAGGGAUCAGUGUCUCUCUCGAGAUGUUGCAAGAUUUUACCUUGACUCCAACCAUGAUCUUGUUCUGCAUAUGUCCCAGAGACACCUUCACAGAGUGAAGGUAGUAAUCAUGUUUGUGGGGCAACAAGAAGCCACUUCUCCUCGUCGUACUGGCAGACCACAGCCUGCUGCCUGUGCUUUGGUGCGCAAUUUCCUAGAGUCUACCCUGGCAGACCUGCGUCACCUGUGGAUGAAGCGUAUUGCAUACCAGGUGUGUGUGGUUUGCCCUUGCAAGCGUGUGUGUGAACUGCACAAGACUGAAGGAUGCAAUGAAGAGAAUUGUCUACAUUUUCUUCACCUGGAUGAAUGCCUUGCAAGCAAGGUGGUGUGCUGUGAACAUCGACGUGUGAAAACAGAUGGUGUACGUUCUUGGUUUCCCGAACCUCAGAAUCUUGGCUUUCAAGCACCCAUUGUGCCAGUUGUUCAGUUGGAGGAGAGCUAUGGAAACAUUGAAAAGCAAAUUCAGGGCCUACCUUUGUGGAUGAAGAGUGCCGCAAAACUGUUAAACAGCGGGGAUGAGAACCAGGACUGGAUGGCCCUGGCCCGACUCUUGGAAUAUAAGGCAUCACGCAUUGAACGCCUAACAGAAGAUGCCAAUCCAGCUCUGGCAUUUCUGAUGGACUGGGUGGUUUCCAAUGGCAACACAACCAUGGCUGUUGACCUGCUGACCUCUUGCCUUCAGCAGCUGGGACGUGAUGAUGUCAUCAUGUUGAUUCAGCGUGCUAGAGAGAAUGAGGGUCCUGCUCCUCAGGUGUUCCUCAGCUACCAGUGGGAAGCUCAAGAUCAGGUGCGCAGCAUUAGGGAUCAUUUGGAGCGGCUGGGCUACUCCUGCUGGAUGGAUGUGGGCCAAAUGGGUGGUGGUGAUCAUCUGCGUGCUAAAAUUGAGGAGGGGCUGCGCAAUUGUGGUGGUUGCCUGCCUGUCUGCGCGCUAUGUAGCAUCACAGUUGUGCAGCAGGGAGCUGUGUCUGGCUGACUUGCUGCAGAAGCCAAUCGUGCCAGUCAUGCUUCACCCCCUUCCCUGGCCCCCACCUGGUGCUGUGGCCCUUUGCCUGGCCCACUUAGUUUACAUCAAUAUGCAAGGUGUGGGAGGGCAUGGAGGAUCUGGAAUUCAUGCUGAUCUGCAAGACAAGUAUGCGGAAAUUGUUCAGCGUGUUGCCAUGUAUGCUACACCAACACUUACUCCAUAUGUCCGCCUCAGCAAGCUUACUUCCGGAAUCCAGAG
rnacentral:misc_RNA from 1 species